GGCAUAGCUCAGUGGUAGAGCACCUGCACCUGUCUUACAAGUAAAAGGUCCCAGGUUCCACCCCUGGCAUCUCCA